rnacentral:rRNA from 1 species
AUUGAACGCUGGCGGCAGGCCUAACACAUGCAAGUCGAACGAGUGGCGGACGGGUGAGUAAUGUCUGGGAAAGUGCCUGAUGGAGGGGGAUAACUACUGGAAACGGUAGCUAAUACCGCAUACCAUCGGAUGUGCCCAGAUGGGAUUAGCUAGUAGGUGGGGUAAAGGCUCACCUAGGCGACGAUCCCUAGCUGGUCUGAGAGGAUGACCAGCCACACUGGGACUGAGACACGGUCCAGACUCCUACGGGAGGCAGCAGUGGGGAAUAUUGAACAAUGGGCGCAAGCCUGAUGCAGCCAUGCCGCGUGUAUGAAGAAGGCCUUCGGGUUGUAAAGUACUUUUAGCGGGGAGGCGUUACCCGCAGAAGAAGCACCGGCUAACUACGUGCCAGCAGCCGCGGUAAUUC